AGUGAGGAGCCUCUCCGCCCGGCAGCCACCCCAUCUGGGAAGUGAGGAGCGUCUCUGCCCGGCAGCCACCCCGUCCGGGAGGGAGGUUGGGGGGGUCAGCCCCCCGCCCGGCCAGCCGCCCCGUCCGGGAGGGAGGUGGGGGUGUCAGCCCCCCGCCCGGCCAGCCGCCCCGUCCGGGAGGGAGGUGGGGGGGUCAGCCCCCGCCCGGCCAGC
rnacentral:lncRNA from 1 species